GACGAACGCUGGCGGCGUGCUUAAUACAUGCAAGUAGGACGCAGUUGCGAACGGGUGAGUAACGCGUCGGUAACUGCCUAUGAGAGGGGGCUAACUCUUGGAAACGAUAGCUACUACCGCAUACUCGUCGCUGGACCUGCGUUGUAUUCGCUAGUAGGUAGGGUGAUGGCCUACCUAGGCGACGCUACAUAGCCGACCUGAGAGGGUGAGUGGGCAAACGGGAACUGAGACACGGACACGACUCCUACGGGAGGCAGCAGGAGGGAAUUGUGGGCAAUGGGGGGAAGCCUGACGGAGCAACGCCGCGAGAGUGAAGAAGGUUUUCGGGUCGUAAAGCUCUGUUGUUAAGGAGGCGGUACUUAAAGAGAAAGGGACGGCUAACUACGUGCCAGCAGCCGCGGUAAUAG
rnacentral:rRNA from 1 species